rnacentral:rRNA from 1 species
CCUACGGGUGGCAGCAGUGGGGAAUAUUGCACAAUGGGGGAAACCCUGAUGCAGCGACGCAGCGUGAGCGAUGAAGUAUUUCGGGAUGUAAAGCUCUAUCAGCAGGGAAGAAAAGGACGGUACCUGACUAAGAAGCCCCGGCUAACUACGUGACAGCAGCCGCGGUAAUACGUAGGGGGCAAGCGUUAUCCGGAUUUACUGGGUGUAAAGGGAGCGUAGACGGUCCUGCAAGCCAGAUGUGAAAGCCCGGGGCUCAACCCCGGGACUGCAGUUGGAACUGUAAGGCUAGAGUGUAGGAGAGGCAGGCGGAAUUCCUAGUGUAGCGGUGAAAUGCGUAGAUAUUGCGCAGAACUCCGAUUGCGAAGGCAGCAUACCGGCGGCGAUCUGACGCUGAGGCACGAAAGCGUGGGUAUCGAACAGGAUUAGAUACCCCAGUAGUC